UACGUAGGGUGCAAGCGUUGUUCGGAAUCAUUGGGCGUAAAGCGCGUGUAGGUGGUUAAUUAAGUCGAUUGUGAAAGCCCUCGGCUCAACCGAGGAAGUGCAGUCGAAACUGACUAGCUAGAGGACGGCAGAGAAAGGUGGAAUUCCAAGUGUAGAGGUGAAAAUUCGUAGAUAUUUGGAGGAAUACCUGUGGCGAAGGCGGCCUUCUGGACCGGUCCUGACACUGAGACGCGAAAGCGUGGGGAGCAAACAGG
rnacentral:rRNA from 1 species